GCGGAGCCCAACCUGACCCGGCUGCUGCGACAGCGCGAAUGGGGGCGGAGCUUCUCCCGGCAGGAGAGAUCGCAGCUGAGCUCCCACUUCCUGCCCAAUCACGAGGCGGCGCUG